AUACUUGUUUCGGCAGUACAUAUAUUAAAAUUAGAACGAUACAAAGAAGAUUAGAUUUCUGUGCAAGGAUAACACGCAAGAAGAUUCAAAUCUCAGUUAAAUUU
rfam:Harpegnathos saltator strain R22 G/1 HarSal_1.0_1.contig450, whole genome shotgun sequence.